rnacentral:rRNA from 1 species
GAGUGCAGAAGAGGAGAGUGGAAUUCCAGGUGUAGCGGUGGAAUGCGAAGAUAUCUGGGAGAAGGCCGGUGGCGAAAGCGACUCUCUGGUCUGUCACUGACGCUGAGAUGCGAAAGCGUAGGUAGCGAACGGGAUUAGAUACCCCGGUAGUCUGCGCUGUAAACGAUGGGCACUAGAUGGUGGAGGCGCCGAUAGCUUUCUCCGUCGUAGCUAAUACGUUAAGUGCCCCGCCUGGGGAGUAUGGCCGCAAGGUUAAAACUCAAAGGAAUUGACGGGGGCCCACACAAUCGGUGGAGGAUGUGGCUUAAUUCGAGGAUACGCGUAGAACCUUACCGAGGCUUGACAUGCAGGUGGUAGUGAAGUGAAAGCGGAACGACCCGAAUAGGGAGCCUGCACAGGUGCUGCAUGGCUGUCGGCAGCUCGUGUCGUGAGAUGUUAGGUUAAGUCCUGUAACGAGCGAAACCCCUGUGCUUAAUUGCCAGCGCGUUAUGGCGGGGACCUUAAGCAGACUGCCCCGGCCAACGGGGAGGAAGGUGGGGAUGACGUCAAGUCAGCAUGGCCUUUAUGCCUCGGGCUGCACACGUCCUACAAUGGGCUGUACAAUGGGGACCUAAACCGCGAGGUGGAGGAAAUCCUGUAAAGCAGCUCUCAGUACGGAUUGCAGGCUGCAAUUCGCCUGCAUGAAGAUGGAAUCGCUAGUAAUCGCCGGUCAGCAUACGGCGGUGAUAUGUCCCUGGGCCUUGUGCACACCGCCCGUCAAGCCACCCGAGUUGGGAGCACCCGAAAUCCGAGAUCUAACCGUAAGGAAGACUCGGCUGAAGGUGAAUCCGAUAAGG